AAGUCGUAACAAGGUUUCCGUAGGUGAACCUGCGGAAGGAUCAUUCACACGUAUCCACGUAUCCACCCUUUGUGCACACGUGCGUGGUGCGACCAUUGGUUGCAUCCGCUCCCACACGACAUCACAACGAACACUACCAGUGCGAAUCGUUCGAUGCAUUGAUCCACCUCGCGUGAAUCGAUGACGAGUUUUCAUAACUCUACGAACAACUCUUAGCAAUGGAUAUCUUGGUUCUC
rnacentral:misc_RNA from 1 species